rnacentral:rRNA from 1 species
GAUGAACGCUGGCGGCGUGCCUAAUACAUGCAAGUCGAGCGAACAGACGAGGAGCUUGCUCCUCUGACGUUAGCGGCGGACGGGUGAGUAACACGUGGAUAACCUACCUAUAAGACUGGGAUAACUUCGGGAAACCGGUGCUAAUACCGGAUAAUAUAUUGAACCGCAUGGUUCAAUAGUGAAAGACGGUUUUGCUGUCACUUAUAGAUGGAUCCGCGCCGCAUUAGCUAGUUGGUAAGAUAACGGCUUACCAAGGCAACGAUGCGUAGCCGACCUGAGAGGGUGAUCGGCCACACUGGAACUGAGACACGGUCCAGACUCCUACGGGAGGCAGCAGUAGGGAAUCUUCCGCAAUGGGCGAAAGCCUGACGGAGCAACGCCGCGUGAGUGAUGAAGGUCUUCGGAUCGUAAAACUCUGUUAUUAGGGAAGAACAAAUGUGUAAGUAACUAUGCACGUCUUGACGGUACCUAAUCAGAAAGCCACGGCUAACUACGUG